CCCUUAGAUGUCCUGGGCCGCACGCGUGCUACACUGACGCCUACAGCGAGUACUUCCCAGCCCCGAGAGGCGGCUGGUAAUCAGCAAUAGGCGUCGUGAUGGGGAUAGAUCUUUGGAAUUCUGGAUCUUGAACGAGGAAUGCCUAGUAAGCGCAGGUCAUUAGCCUGCGCUGAUUACGUCCCUGCCCUUUGUACACACCGCCCGUCGCUCCUACCGAUUUCGAGUGGUCCGGUGAAUCUUUCGGACUGCGCGCAGCUUCGUGCCGUGUCGCGGAAAGUCAGGUAAACCUAAUCACUUAGAGGAAGGACAANUCGUANCA
rnacentral:rRNA from 1 species